UACGAACCGUGCAAACGUUAUUCGGAAUCACUGGGCUUAAAGGGUGCGUAGGCGGCCAUGUAAGUGAGGUGUGAAAUCCCUCGGCUCAACCGAGGAACUGCGCUUCAUACUGCAUGGCUUGAGGGAGACAGGGGUAAGCGGAACUGAUGGUGGAGCGGUGAAAUGCGUUGAUAUCAUCAGGAACACCGGUGGCGAAAGCGGCUUACUGGGUCUCUUCUGACGCUGAGGUACGAAAGCUUGGGUAGCGAACAGG
rnacentral:misc_RNA from 1 species